AGUUCGGACUGUAGUCUGCAACCCGACUACACGAAGCUGGAAUCGCUAGUAAUCGCGAAUCAGAAUGUCGCGGUGAUACGUUCCCGGGUCUUGUACACACCGCCCGUCACACCAUGGGAGUCGGGAAUGCCCGAAGUCAGUGACCCAACCUAUUGGAGGGAGCUGCCGAAGGCAGGUCUGAUAACUGGGGUGAAGUCGUAACAAGGUAAC
rnacentral:rRNA from 1 species